rnacentral:rRNA from 1 species
AUUGAACGCUGGCGGCAGGCUUAACACAUGCAAGUCGAGCGAGCGGCGGACGGGUGAGUAAUGUCUGGGAAACUGCCUGAUGGAGGGGGAUAACUACUGGAAACGGUAGCUCAUACCGCAUACCAUCAGAUGUGCCCAGAUGGGAGUAGGUAGUAGGUGGGGUAAAGGCUCACCUAGGCGACGAUCCCUAGCUGGUCUGAGAGGAUGACCAGCCACACUGGAACUGAGACACGGUCCAGACUCCUACGGGAGGCAGCAGUGGGGAAUAUUGCACAAUGGGAGCAAGCCUGAUGCAGCCAUGCCGCGUGUAUGAAGAAGGCCUGCGGGGUGUAAAGCACUUUCAGCGAGGAGGCGUUACUCGCAGAAGAAGCACCGGCUAACUCCGUGCCAGCAGCCGCGGUAAUAC